AGUAAGAACCCGGGACACCAAGAUCUGAGGAGGGUCCCUGGCUGGCAACACUCCCUGCGUGCCGGGAGGAGUGAAGGGAGAGGACAGCUGAUAACUGGUCUCCGUGGAGCCUUCCGGGCCCUCUUCCUGGCUGCUUCCAGCGCGUCCUUCUCUGUGAUAAGCCGUGACUGUGAACAUGGCUGUGAGUCCUUCUAGAGAACUCGCAAGUAUGCCAAGGUCUUGGGGGCCCUACUGACUUGCAGCUGGUGUUGGAUGGAGCCCCACAUGGACUGUCCCUCCUUGCUGCGCCAUGGCCUCCCCACCGUGGGUCACACUGGUUUUCGGGGGCUAAGCAGCGGUUUUCCCUCCGCUUCCUCCUGGCUUCCCCGCUCCCCUGCCUCCUCCCCUCCCCCGUCGCAGCCCCGUCAGGCUCACCCAGAACUCUUCCAGCAGGGCCACCGCCUCCUCCCAGCUUAGCGGCUGACGGCUGCACACCCAGGCCUGCGUGUCGGCUGGCAGCGCGCUCAGAAACUGCUCCAGCACCAGCAGCUCCAGCAUCUGCUCCUUGGUGUGCACCUCGGGCCGCAGCCGGUCCCGGCACAGGGCGCGUAGCAGCCCCAGCGCCUCGUGCGGGCCCGGCGCCUCGCCCAGGUGGAAGCGGCGGAAGCGGUGCCACGAGGAGCCCAGCGCCAGGCCCUCGGCCUCCUGCUUCAGCGGCACCGUCAGCUCCAUGGGGCCUCCUGGACGGCAGCGCCUGCCCCGCGUGGCCCAGGGUGCAAAGAGGUCUCUGUGAGGGGCGGCGCUCACUCGGGCGGUGAGGAAAGGGUGUCUGUCUCGUGGGAUCCCACGGAGUCAAGUGCCGGCUCUGCCCCUCGUUGGGCCCCUUCCGCGGCUUCUGUACCUCAGUCCUGCAGCUCCUCCCGCAGCCUGUCCUACAGCACAAAGGCUCUGGAGCAAAUUCCAGCUCUGCCUCCCACCAGCUCUGUGUCCUUGGACAAGGUACAAGGCACCUUUUGUAAUACACUGUCUCUCCAUGUCCUUGGCUCACUCUCUCAGGCGAGGCCUCCCAAGCCUCUUUACCUCCGCGCACAUGUGCACAGAGCUCACCGGAACUCCUCUUACACAUUUUUGAUUAUUCGUUGCUGGUACCUAGAAAUACUAUUUUUGUGUAUUGAUCCUUCUAGCCAGUGACUUUGCAGAAUUUACUUAUUAAUUCUAGUAGCUUUACUUUAGAUGACUUAGGGUUUUCCAUGUAUACGAUCAUGUCUUCUGGGAAUAAAGGCAGCAUUAUAUCCUCCUUACCAAUUUCAAUGCCUUUUCUCUCCCUUGCCUUGCUGCAUUGGCUGGUGUCUCCAAUAGAGUGUCGAAAAGAAGUGCCGAGGGUAGACAUUCUUGCACAGUUCCCAAUUUUAGAAAGAAAGCAUUCGGGCUUUCACCAUCAUUAAGUGUGGUGUCAACCUUGAGUUUGUCACUUACACCCUUUAUGAGGCUGAGGAAAUUCCCUUCUGUUCCUAAAAUGCUCAGUUUUUAUUACAAAUGGGUAUUAAAUUCUGUCAAGGGCCGGGCGCAGUGGCUUACGCCUGUAAUCCCAGCAUUUUGAGAGGCCUAGGUGGGCGGAGUUUGAGACCAGCCUGGCCAACAUAGUGAAACCCCGUCUCUACUAAAAAUUCAAAAAAAAAAAAAAAAAAAAAAAAAAAAGCCAGGCGUGGUGGCACUGGCCUGUACUCCCAGCUACUUGGGAGGCUGAGGCAGGAGAAUCUCUUGAACCCAGGAGGCGGAGGUUGUGGUGAGCGGAUAUUGAGGCAUUGCACUCCAGCCUGGGCAACAGAGUGAGACUCGAUCUAAAAAAAAAAAAAAAAUUCUGUCAAAUGCUUUUUCUAUAUCUGUUGAGAUGAUAUGAUGGUAUUGACAGGGGUUUUCCCCUUCAUUCUGUUAAUAUGGUGAAUUACAUUGAUAUUAAAAUAUUAAACCAAUCUUGUAAGUCAGGGAAAAUUGACACUUGGUUAUGGUUAUAUAUAUAUAUAUCUUACUGGAUUUGAUUUGUUAAAAUUAAAAACUUUUCUUUUUCGAAACCACUUUAUUGGCCUGGUGCAGUGGUGCACGUCUGUAAUCACAGGACUUUGGGAGGCUGAGUUGGAGACCAACAUGGACAACAUGACGAAACUCUGUCUCCACUAAAAAUACAAAAAUUAGCUGGGGGUGGUGGUGCACGCCUGUAGUCCCAGCUACUCAGGAGGCUGAGGUGGAAGUCACUUGAGCCCAGGAGGUCAAAGCUGCAGUGAGCUAAGAUCCCACCAGUGUACCCCAGCCUGGGAGACAGAGCAAGACCUUAUCUCAAAACAAACAAACAAAAAACAAAGCAACAACAACAACAAAAAAGCUGCUGCAGUGGCUCACGUCUGUAAUCCCAACACUUUGGGAGCGUGGGGGGGGGCGGGGGGGGUGGAUCACCUGAGGUCAGGAGUUCGAGACCAGCCUGGCCAACAUGGUGAAACUCUGUCUAUACUGAAAAUACAGAAUUAGCCAGGUGUGGUGGCACACACAUGUAGUCCCAGGUACUCGGGAGGCUGAGACAGGAGAAUCUCUUGAACCCAGGAGGUGGAGACUGCAGUGAGCUGAGAUUCCACCACUGCACUCCAGCCUGGGCAAGACAGAGCAAGACUCUGUCUCAAAAACAAAACACAUACACACACACACACACACACACACACACACACAACCAGAUUAUUUUAUUGAGAUAGAAUUCAUAUGCCAUACAAUUCAAUUCACCCACUUAAAGUGUACAAUUAUUUUAGUAUAUCGUCAGAUACACACAACUAUCACCACAAUGAUUUUUAGAACAUUUUCAUCACCUCAUGAAGAAAUCCUAUACUUUUCUCUUUAUUUUGAGACAGAGUUUGGCUCUUGUUGGCCGGGCUGGAGGGCUGGGAUUACAGGCGUGAGCCACCACCGCACCUGGCCAGAAAUCCUAUACUCUUUAGCUGUCACUGUUGACCCUCUCUCCCCGAGGCAUAAACAUCCACUAAUCUACCUUAUCUUCAGAGUUUACUGUAGAGAUUUUAUUAAAUGAAAUAAUAUAAAAUGUUAUCUUUGCGACUGGCUUUUUUCCCUUAGCAUGAUGUUUUCAAGGCUCAUCUGUGUUGUGGUAUACAGCAGUACUUCAUUUCUUUCUCGAUUUGAAUAAUGUUCCAUUGUAUGAUCUACCACAUACUGUUCAUCCAUUCAUCAGCUGAUGGGCAUUUAGGCUGUUUUCACCUUUUAUCUAUUGUGAAUAAUGCCAUUAUGAACAUUCCUAUACAAGUUUUUGUGUGUACAUGUGUUUUUAUUACCUUGGGGGUAUGUAUCUGGGAAUGAAUUGCUGGGUCAUAUGGAAACUCUGUAUUUAAUCAAUGAGAGAACUGCCAGAUUGUUUUCCAAAGUGACUGCACCAAUUUAUAUUCCCAUCAGUCAUAUAUGAGGGUCUGAUUUUUGUUUUCUCACCAACACGUACCUUUUUUUUUGACACAGGGUCUCACUCUGUUGCUCAGGCUAGACUGCAGUGACAUGAUCAUGGCUCACUGCAGCCUCAGCCUUCCUGGGCUCAGGUGAUCCUCCCACCUCAGCUUCCUGAGUAGCUGGGACUUCAGGCACAUGCUACCACACCCAGCUAAUUUUUUAACAUGGUUUAGAGUUAACUGUUUACUUCCUGGGAGUGGGGAAAUUUUCUCUUUAUCAAAAGUUGGCCCUAAUAUUCUAAGAGUUAUAGGUAAAUGUGAAUCAAUAUGUCAGUUCCCCAUCUCCCCGCUCAUCUUUCUUAACUUUGUAGCUUAAUGACAUGAAUAUACAGAGCGAAC
rnacentral:lncRNA from 1 species